CAAAUGGGUCACGAGCGGCUGAAAGGGCGAGAGUCAGAUGCCCCCAGGUUCAGUAGACAGCUGCUAGAGGUGGUGGAGGAGGAAAUCACAUGGGACUCUCUGGAUGAACGCUACUGGACAUAUUCGGUUCUUCCUGACCUGUCUGACUCCUACUGGCCUUACAGGAGCACCGCCAUCUUCUUCCCUGAGGAACUGGAAGUCUCUUACGCUCUGGAAAUGGCCAGUGAGUACUCCGCUGUAGAGGAGGAACAAGAGCAAGACCUGACAUGCGCCAGGUAAGUCUGGGAGCUGCCGGAGAGUGCAGAGCAGGAUGUCCAACAGGACUCACUGGAUGAACGCUAUUUGACUUACUCAGCUCUUCCUGACCCGUCUGAUUCCCCCUGGACACACAGGAGGGCCAACAUCAACUCAUAUGAGGAUCUGGAUGUCUGUCCUGCUCUGGAAGUAGCUAGUGAGUCCUCCACUGCGAAGGUGAUAAAGCUCCAACUGGACUCCCAAGUCGACCCCAGAGUUGGGUAUCCCUACUCUGCUUAUGUUGGAAUUUGUUAUCCAGGUGUUUCAGCCCCGUAGACAUAUGGAUCUGAGUCAGGCUCUAGGAUAGACUUCUAAGCACAGACAUCAGAUGCAUCAGGGCC
rnacentral:lncRNA from 1 species